UACAGAGGGUGCAAGCGUUAAUCGGAAUUACUGGGCGUAAAGCGUGCGUAGGUGGUUCGGUAAGUCAGAUGUGAAAGCCCUGGGCUUAACCUGGGAAUUGCGUUUGAUACUGCUUGACUAGAGUUUGGUAGAGGGAAGUGGAAUUCCACGUGUAGCGGUGAAAUGCGUAGAUAUGUGGAGGAACACCAGUGGCGAAGGCGGCUUCCUGGACUAAAACUGACACUGAGGCACGAAAGCGUGGGGAGCAAACAGGGAUUAGAUACCCUGGUAGUCCACGCCGUAAACGAUGGGUACUAGACGUUGGGAGGUUUAACCUUCUAGUGUCGCAGCUAACGCAAUAAGUACCCCGCCUGGGGAGUACGGCCGCAAGGUUAAAACUCA
rnacentral:rRNA from 1 species